UGUGGUUGAGGCUCAGUGGUAAGAGCACUUGCCUAGCAUGUGUGAGGUACUGUGUUUGAUUCUCAGCACCAUAA
rnacentral:tRNA from 1 species